UACAGAGGGUGCGAGCGUUGUCCGGAAUCACUGGGCGUAAAGGGCGCGUAGGCGGCUUGAUAAGCGUGCGGUGAAAGCCCGGGGCUCAACCCCGGGUCGGCCGUGCGAACUGUCGAGCUGGAGCACUGUAGAGGCAGGUGGAAUUCCGGGUGUAGCGGUGGAAUGCGUAGAGAUCCGGAAGAACACCGGUGGCGAAGGCGGCCUGCUGGACAGUGGCUGACGCUGAGGCGCGACAGCGUGGGGAGCAAACAGG
rnacentral:rRNA from 1 species